rnacentral:misc_RNA from 1 species
CACGUAGGAUCCAAGCGUUAUCCUGAUUUACUGGGCGUAAAGCGCAUGCAGGCGGCUGUUUAAGUCGGACGUGAAAGCUCCUGGCUCAACUAGGAGAGGUCGUUCGAAACUGGGCAGCUUGAGGGUGGUAGAGGAGAGUGGAAUUCCCGGUGUAGUGGUGAAAUGCGUAGAUAUCGGGAGGAACACCAGUGGCGAAGGCGGCUCUCUAGGCCACACCUGACGCUCAGAUGCGAAAGCUAGGGGAGCAAACGGG